UGUGUCAUCAAGGUCUUGGAAAUGAUAAAGCAACAGCUUAUCUGAUUGAAAUUGUUAUUCAGAAUGUGGAAAGAGUUAGAACAACGAGUGUUUUCUUAUUAUUCGGUUUGACUCUUUUGUUGUUGCCGGACUGUAAUUAGUGUACUUGGUGAAAUUGUGCUAAGUGCAAGUGCAAGUAUUUACAGAAUGUGACACCCAGGAUAGAGUUACUUCGGUAUCACGACAGUCUUAUUGUAAAUAUAAUGGAGCCCACAGAGGGAAUCUUGAAGCUGAUUCCAUUAUAUUUCUUAGUCAGAGAAGUUUGAAAUCCUAUUUUACAAAAUUUGGUAGUGGAGCCCACAGGGAACCUUGAAUCCGUACCACAACGUGCUUCUAAGCCAUAGAAGUUUGAAAUUUUAUUUUACAACAUUCGCUAUUUAGGCAAGAGGAUUUAUUGAACUUUGAACUCAUGGAUUUAGUAAGAUUGAGUCUUCAUUUCCAGUAACAUUCAAAUGAUUUUUUUCAAAAAUGCAUUGGACAUUGCGUUUCCUUCAUAGGAUAUGGAAUCGUCCAUCUCCACAACGUGUCGUGAUACAAUUUUUAAUUAAAUCGGCUUAAAAAGAAUCUGAAAUCAUCCAAAAAUAAGAAGAAAAUGUACAGGGGAGUGAACGUCUCCCUAAAACUCCUGCGUCAGAGCAGUGAGUAGAAGUGAGGAAAGAGAGAGAGCGUCUAACGAAGCCAAGCAUUUCCAGGAUGAAAGACUAUUUGUUUUGAUAUACUGGGCAUUACCUAUCGUGAGUAUGUUCCUUCUGGUCAGACACUGACCGGACAAUUCUAUGUCAGCACCCUGAAGCGGUUGGAGUCACGCAUUUUCCACGUAAAGCCGGUAUUUGCAGAGAAAGGCUGGAUUCUUUACGCACCCGCGCAUUGUUCAUUGAUUGUCUAUGAGUGUUUGGCCAAAAAGGUAUUCACACGUUACCGCUUCUCCCCAUUCAGCCCGGGUUUAGCCCCAUCAUCAUCAUCAUCAUAAGGUCGUCAAUCCUAAGACUGGUUGGUCACGCAUCUCCACUCCUUCCCAUCCUGAGCUAAUCUUCGCAUUUCCCUGAAACUAGAACAUCCUACAUCGUUAACUAUUAGCCCUGUGCGACAUUUUUCUCUUUCUAAAAAUGAAGUCUCACAUUAAAAGUAUUCCUCAUGACGCCGUAGAAGAGAUCAAGGCAACUGUGACGACGGUUCUGAGCUCCAUAACUUUAAAAAGCGGAGGGUGUUUCCAAUCGGUGUUAAGGGUUGUCACAAGACUCUAAAGGGUGUCUAUUACAGUAAAACCUACAAAUAUUUAUACAAAUAAUAAUUUUGUUUUAUUUCCUGUGAUCGAUAAAAUUACCAAAUGUUUGACGAAGUUAAUAGAUGGUACGAUGGUAUCAUGGGCGAAAAUGGACUGUGCAGUUAUAUUAAAACAAAUGAGAAUCUGUCGUGCGAGUAAAAUCAAAAAGUAAUUAAACUACAAAGCAAAUAUGCCAAAUUGCUUUGUAUUAUUAGCGAACUAUGUUGCGAGCGAAUAGUUUUCAGCUUUUAUUAAAUUCCAAAUUAAUUGUUGUCUUGCUUUGUAAAUAUUAGCUGCUGCUGCUCCAACUGAUGGAUACGAUGGCAUAAAAAAAUGUUACAAACAAAAAAGCAAUUCAGCGAUGAAAAACUUUUUUUAUUUUAUGUAAUAAAGGAGGUAUUUAGUCAAAAAACAAUUAUGUAUUCUACUCUUCGUUUUAUUGACUUUUUUAACGUAUAAAGACAGAAGAAUGCCCGAGCACGUCAACAACAGACCGAAACAUUGAUGAAGUGAAGAAAUUAGUACUAGUCAAUCGUCGAAUCUCCGUUAGAGAAGUUGCUGAAAACUUAAACAUAUCGACUGGCUCCUGCCAUUUAAUUUUUACCAAUGAUUUGAGUAUGAGCGGGCCGCCGCAAAAUUCGUACCAAAAUUGCUCAAUUUCGACCAAAAACAGCAUCUCAUUAACAUUGUUUUGGAGCUGCUGGACUCUGUCCGCGACAACCUAAGUUUCCUCCAGAGGUUCAUAAUGGGUGACGAAUCGUGGUUUUAUGGUUAUGACGUGGAAACUAAAACUCAAUCAUCCCAAUGGAAGCUGCCGCACGAGCCAAGACCGAAAAAAGC
rnacentral:lncRNA from 1 species